rnacentral:rRNA from 1 species
UACGUAGGGUGCGAGCGUUGUCCGGAAUUACUGGGCGUAAAGAGCUCGUAGGUGGUUUGUCGCGUUGUUCGUGAAAACCGAGGCUUAACCUUGGGCGUGCGGGCGAUACGGGCAGACUGGAGUACUGCAGGGGAGACUGGAAUUCCUGGUGUAGCGGUGGAAUGCGCAGAUAUCAGGAGGAACACCGGUGGCGAAGGCGGGUCUCUGGGCAGUAACUGACGCUGAGGAGCGAAAGCGUGGGGAGCGAACAGG